rnacentral:rRNA from 1 species
UUGAAAGGGAAACGAUUGAAGUCAGUCGUACCUGCGGGUAAUCAGCCUUUUGGGUGUGAUUAUGUGGAGCGUGAGGAGUUAAUCACCCUCAUCUUUGCAUAUUCGUGCACUUUGGGUGUACUUGCUCGUGUGGUAGGUUAACAUCAAUUUUGAUCAUCAUAAAAUGAUUGGAGGAAUGUAGCUUCGAUCUCGUAUUGAAGUGUUAUAGCCUUUGGUAGAUGUGAUGAUCGGGAUUGAGGAUUGCAACGGAUACCCUUCGGGGCUACCCGUCUGAUCUCUGAAAGUUGCUCUGGUGCUGAAAGCUUGCUUAUGGUAUCAAAGUUGACGUUCAAUAGGUUAGAACGGGAUAAAUUCGUUAAGGAUGUUGACGUA